UACGAAGGGUGCAAACGUUGCUCGGAAUUAUUGGGCGUAAAGCGCACGUAGGCGGCUUGGCAAGCCGGAUGUGAAAGCCCUCGGCCCAACCAAGGAAGUGCAUCCGAAACUGCUGAGCUUGAGUACUUAAGAGGAUCGCGGAAUUCCCGGUGUAGAGGUGAAAUUCGUAGAUAUCGGGAGGAACACCAGUGGCGAAGACGGCGAUCUGGGAAGAUACUGACGCUGAGGUGCGAAAGCGUGGGGAGCAAACAGG
rnacentral:rRNA from 1 species